CAGAGACUUUGGGGGGGGGGGGGCAUGCUCUCCUCAAAUGACACCCCUGCCCUCAAGCCUGAAAAGUUUGUCGGAAAAGAAAACCGAUUCGCAAACAGGACAAGAAAACACUGAAGCCGCGUGUCGAGUUCAGGAACCGACUUCGCUUCCGGUGCGACGAACACUGAGGGUGACUCGUUGACCGUGAUCUGCCCAGCCCUUGACCUUUGCUUGGCGCGGCACGACUCCGGCGGUUGGAAAGCUGGAAGGUGAAGCGGCACACUUUUUUACCUCGAAAAAUUGGGAUCAAGCAAACUAAAUUAAUUUGGUAAAGGUUGAAGUUACUGUGAAUCAAACUUUGUUGGUAAGUUCUGGCCAUAACUUGAUAUUAUGUGUCAAAAGUCACACUAUUCAUGCAAAGGUGGAUAAAUUAGAUUUUGGAAGCUCGUUGGGAACAGACAAACGAUCUGAAUUGCUUGUUCAAAGGUCAAAGUUGGUGAGGCCACUGCAUGUCUUUGUGUGCUAUAAUUUUGUGACUUUAUUUUCAUGUAUGCUUUUACCUAGAUUUUGUUUUGUGUACUUGAACACCUGCUUGUCUAUAUUUUUUUUAAAAUAAAAUUAUGUAGCAAUCUAUUAUUA